AGAGCAAGGUACCUUUCUUGGCUGAUCCCUUUCGCGUUAUGGCGUGCUCGUUUGGGUUGGGCAUCGGCUAGAAGUGCUCAGAGCGCGGAUUAACUCCAGUCUCCUAUCAGACAACUUUGGAGGAGCAGCGAGGCUUGGAGUAUCGACUUGGAUAAGCUUGAAUCGUAUUAUUGGACCCUGUGAAGGACAUCGUAAGGGAUCUCAGUAGCAGUCAUCGUGAAACAGGUGAGCCCUAGAAUUGGUGGACUUAGAGCUGGGCGGGAUUCAGAGUGGCCAUGAAGAUUGAUUGCCGAUUUUAAAUAAGUUUAGCCUUUAAUUUGGAUUAUUUUAUUUUUAUUAUGCUUAAAGUUGUAAUAAGGCCGCUCUUUUUAAUUGAUUUUAUUUUGGGGAUUAUUAAACUGGUUAGCACUAGGGUUCGUUUUAUAAAAUCUACUUGUUUUUAAAAAGAUCA